AUUGAACGCUGGCGGUAGGCUUAACACAUGCAAGUCGAGCGGAAACGAUGUAGCUUGCUACAGGCGUCGAGCGGCGGACGGGUGAGUAACGCGUAGGAACCUACCUAGUAGUUUGGGAUAGCCCAGAGAAAUUUGGAUUAAUACCGGAUACGCCCUACGGGGGAAAGUGGAGGAUCUUCGGACUUCACGCUAUUAGAUGGGCCUGCGUAAGAUUAGCUAGUUGGUGAGGUAAUGGCUCACCAAGGCAACGAUCUUUAGCUGGUUUGAGAGGAUGAUCAGCCACACUGGGACUGAGACACGGCCCAGACUCCUACGGGAGGCAGCAGUGGGGAAUAUUGCACAAUGGGCGCAAGCCUGAUGCAGCCAUACCGCGUGUGUGAAGAAGGCUCUAGGGUUGUAAAGCACUUUCAGUAGGGAGGAAAGGUUAUAGUUUAAUACGCUAUAGCUGUGACGUUACCUACAGAAGAAGGACCGGCUAACUCCGUGCCAGCAGCCGCGGUAAUACGGAGGGUCCGAGCGUUAAUCGGAAUUACUGGGCGUAAAGCGUACGUAGGUGGUUUGUUAAGUUGGAUGUGAAAGCCCAGGGCUCAACCUUGGAACUGCAUUCAAAACUGAUGAACUAGAGUAUGGUAGAGGUAAGUGGAAUUUCCUGUGUAGCGGUGAAAUGCGUAGAGAUGGGAAGGAACAUCAGUGGCGAAAGGCGACUUACUGGACCAAUACUGACACUGAGGUACGAAAGCGUGGGUAGCAAACAGGAUUAGAUACCCUGGUAGUCCACGCCGUAAACGAUGUCUACUAGCCGUUGGGGUCCUUGAGACUUUAGUGGCGCAGCUAACGCACUAAGUAGACCGCCUGGGGAGUACGGUCGCAAGAUUAAAACUCAAAUGAAUUGACGGGGGCCCGCACAAGCGGUGGAGCAUGUGGUUUAAUUCGAAGCAACGCGAAGAACCUUACCUACUCUUGACAUCCACAGAACUUCUGAGAGAUCAGUUGGUGCCUUCGGGAACUGUGAGACAGGUGCUGCAUGGCUGUCGUCAGCUCGUGUUGUGAAAUGUUGGGUUAAGUCCCGUAACGAGCGCAACCCUUGUCCUUAGUUACCAUCAUUUAGUUGGGUACUUUAAGGAGACUGCCGGUGACAAACCGGAGGAAGGCGGGGACGACGUCAAGUCAUCAUGGCCCUUACGAGUAGGGCUACACACGUGCUACAAUGGCUGGUACAAACGGUUGCAAUCUCGCGAGGGUGAGCUAAUCUGAGAAAGCCAGUCGUAGUCCGGAUCGGAGUCUGCAACUCGACUCCGUGAAGUCGGAAUCGCUAGUAAUCGUGAAUCAGAAUGUCACGGUGAAUACGUUCCCGGGCCUUGUACACACCGCCCGUCACACCAUGGGAGUGGGUUGCUCCAGAAGUAAAUAGCUUAACCUUCGGGAGGGCGUUUACCACGGAGUGAUUCAUGACUGGGGUG
rnacentral:rRNA from 1 species